GAAGGAGGAGGAGGAAGUAGAAGAGAAAAAGAAAUAGUAAAAAUUUCACGCAAAUUGUGCAACUUUCGUCUAAAAAGUGUAACUCUCAUCCUAAAGAGUGUAAUUUCUGUCUCAAAGAGUAUAAUUUUUAUUUAAAACAGUAUAAUUUAAUUUUAACAAUACAAUUUUAUUUUCUUCUUUCUUCUUCUAUGAUUUUUGAUCUUUUCUGCAGGAUUUUUUUUAUUUUUAUUUUAUAUUAUUCUUAUUU
rnacentral:lncRNA from 1 species